CAAGUCGAGGGGAAACGAUAGAGAAAGCUUGCUUUUUCUAGGCGUCGACCGGCGCACGGGUGAGUAACGCGUAUCCAACCUGCCCAUCACUUGGGGAUAACCUUGCGAAAGUAAGACUAAUACCCAAUGAUGUCUCAAGAAGACAUCUGAAUGAGAUUAAAGAUUUAUCGGUGAUGGAUGGGGAUGCGUCUGAUUAGCUUGUCGGCGGGGUAACGGCCCACCAAGGCGACGAUCAGUAGGGGUUCUGAGAGGAAGGUCCCCCACAUUGGAACUGAGACACGGUCCAAACUCCUACGGGAGGCAGCAGUGAGGAAUAUUGGUCAAUGGGCGAGAGCCUGAACCAGCCAAGUAGCGUGCAGGAUGACGGCCCUAUGGGUUGUAAACUGCUUUUAUAAGGGAAUAAAGUGAGUCUCGUGAGACUUUUUGCAUGUACCUUAUGAAUAAGGACCGGCUAAUUCCGUGCCAGCAGCCGCGGUAAUACGGAAGGUCCGGGCGUUAUCCGGAUUUAUUGGGUUUAA
rnacentral:rRNA from 1 species